GAGGGAUUCGAUUACCUCAAAGGGACACGCUAUAAAUCCUAAAGUGGCACAGAGCUAUAGGAUCACAGAGCUCUGCUUACACCAUCAGUACAACCUGUGUUUCCCCCUUCCUUUUGGAAUUAAAUUCAACCACAGUUUACACAUAGCAGGUAUCCCACUUUGUAUGCUGCUUAUGUGAGUGUUAGAUAUGCAAAAAUGAGGAUCAAAGGAAUAUGAAUACAUAACAUAAUCCAUCGCGAUAAUGCCUUUUUCCUUUCUGCAUACUUACGAUCAUAACGUUCUUACAUUGAUGUCAUUAAAAGGCAUCGAAUGCAAAUUAAUUGCGGCUUCAUUGAUGGAAUAAAACGUGUGUGAUUUAUAUUAUGACUGAGCUGAAUGAGUGUCCAGAGUGUUUAAGCAAAGUCAAAGUCAAACCAUUGACUUGUGUCUCCCCAAGCUGCAAUAUGGCCCACAGUCUUUGACAUGCACACUGAGCACACGCUAAUGAGCCGAAUGCGUGUGAGUGUGUGUGUGUGUGUGUGUUAUACUGAGAGAGUCAGAGCUGGAGAGUUUUUUGCCGCAGAGUGAUUGUUCGGUUGAAUGGAUGUCCCCAAUAACCCUACAAACACAUACAGUACGUCCACUAUUAUAAUGGGAAAUGUUUGUGAAUAUAAAGCAGAGACAAGCUGGCCAGCUAAAGUGUUUAUUUACACAAAGAUGCUGAGCUUUAAAGAUAAGAAAAGAAGAAAAUGUCCUCUUUUUCUCCCUCUCUUUCCCUCCUCCCUCAGUGUUUUUCAUCACUCUCCAUUAUUACACCUUUUCUUUCUGUAUACCUUUUUAUUCCAACUCUCUUCUCUUUUCCUGUUCGCCUCCUAUCUCUUCUUCAUUAUUCAGGCUUUCAUUUCCUUUUUUCCUUUUCUGUUACUUUAUGCUCUUCCUUCUUUCCCCCUGUGUGCUUUACGGUUUGAAAUACGCUCACGUACUGUAUUCAAAGCUGCGUUAAGGGGAGAUUGAAAGGAUAGAAAAGGACCAUUGUUAAUGCAGUCUGAUGACUGUGACCAAAAGGUGUAGCAGGAAUGAAACUUUAAGUGGAGCUUGAGUAAGAGUAGAGCUUCUUUCAUGUUUUCAUAUUUAAUGAUGUCUCCUGUCUCUGUCACGUACUUAUCUUCCCUUUUUUCUCCCCCUGCUCUGUCUUCAUCUCUCUUUAGCUUCGCAGAAGACAGAUUUAGGACAGGAGUUUUACACAGUAGCCCGCGGGACAAAAACGGAUAACCAUCAUCUAAAUGUUGGGCUGCUGGGCCUCAAGUAUCUAGUAGCAAAAUAAUAUGCUGAACAUUGUAACCAAAGCGUCAUUCUGAGAUCAGUUCAAACCUCUUUGUUCCAGUUGGGUGUAAGGAGCCAUACAGCCUCUGGUGGCCAAUAGCAGAGGCUUUUAGACUCAUUGGUUUGCUCUUGUAUAAUUAAUUGUUAAUUUUUACAGUGUUAAUGAUUGAAGUUGAGUGUAAUCUGGAGCCUAGUUAGUUAGUAGUGAUAGGGCACAGUACAUUGCUUUUGGGUAACAGAACUUUGUCACCACAGUGACGCGUAAUAGACGGUGGUUCCUGACUGGUGGGCUCCAUAGUCAGUGAAUCCAAAGUGGAUCCCAGAGAGAGAAAAGGAGCUUAUUUAUGGCAGAGUGCUUUUAUUUUAAAGUACCAAUUUCCGCUGUAGAUUGACUAACAAGGGUCUGCCUCUAGGGUCAUAGAGGAAGCUAAUCGGCCUUAUUGACGUCAUAUAUACUGUGUGUAUAUAUAUAUAUAUAUAUAUAAAAAAUAGUGAAAAUAUUUUUUUCAUUAUCAGCAAAGUAAUUCUUUUCAUGCCUUGUUCCUGUUUAUCUUUUUAGCAUGUUAUGCUGGGAAUAAAACAGUGUUUUAGAGGCCUGGAUAUGACUGAAUUAACUGCUGUUGCAGUAUUAUUAAUGUUAUCGUUUUUUAAGCCUUUAACAGUUCUUUGUUUCAUUUUUCCCCUUUGGGUUUUAAGCUGCUCUUGUUUUAUUUGUGAGUAGGCCACUUCAUUCGCUCUGGUCAUGCACUAAAUGGAAGAGAUUACAUGUCAGAUUUAAAUUAGUUAAAAAUAAUACAUGUAGGUCAGAGUGGUACUAUUCCCUUGAAUUCAAAUAAAAUCUCUCGCUCUAAGUCAGUCCAUGAGAUUAACCCCUGUUUGUCUCCAGUCAGCUGUUCCCUGCUUGUUCGUGUUGAAAUGUGUGGUGGCUGAACAAUGGUGGUUUAGUUAUCUAAUGUGUUUUACUGGGAUUACCUCCACAACUGUCGGGGUUUGAUCCUUAGGUUAUGUCACGCUGCUGCAUGUCUCUGCUAUUUUUAAUUUCUCUGUGCAGAAAUUUGACUAAAACACCAUAUUAGCCUGCAGGCAUGUAUUGUUUUUCUGAAUUUUCCAAUAUGAAUUUACUGAUUUUGUUCCUAAAAACUCUACCUGAUAUUUCUUAUCAAGAAAGAUCAUAAUACUGUACUUUUCCAAAGAGUCCCAUGGGUGGUUUUGAUGUGGCAAACAUAUGCACCAGCACUUCUUUGUAUUUGUUUGGGGCGAGGAAGAGAGAGCCUUCACAAUAUCGCUUCAAUGUAGCGCCUGCUUUUUGAAGCACGUGUACGUGCUCGCAGUUGAUAACCUAGACAACGGCCCUCUUGGAGCAUCCCGAGGCUAUGCCAUUAAAUGAAGCGGCAUCGCACGCGCGUAAGUAAAUUGUUUUCCUCUCUAUGAAGCAGCUCCCAGAGGAAACACAAGAGGAAACGGGUCAAUUCCAGCUCGCAAAAUUGACGUUGGUGUGCAGAAGCAAACAGCCUGCUGCCCCCCAUUGUUUUAGACUUAAGUGGAGAGGUAAACUACAGGUCU